AGUUAACGCUGGCGGUAGGCCUAACACAUGCAAGUCGAACGGCAGCACAGGAGAGCUUGCUCUCUGGGUGGCGAGUGGCGGUCGGGUGAGGAAUACAUCGGAAUCUACUCUGUCGUGGGGGAUAACGUAGGGAAACUUACGCUAUUACCGCAUACGACCUACGGGUGAAAGCAGGGGAUCUUCGGACCUUGCGCGAUUGAAUGAGCCGAUGUCGGAUUAGCUAGUUGGCGGGGUAAAGGCCCACCAAGGCGACGAUCCGUAGCUGGUCUGAGAGAAUGAUCAGCCACACUAGAACUGAGACACGGUCCAGACUCCUACGGGAGGCAGCAGUGGGGAAUAUUGGCCAAUGGGCGCAAGCCUGAUCCAGCCAUACCGCGUGGGUGAAGAAGGCCUUCGGGUUGUAAAGCCCUUUUGUUGGGAAAGAAAUCCAGCUGGCUAAUACCCGGUUGGGAUGACGGUACCCAAAGAAUAAGCACCGGCUAACUUCGUGCCAGCCGCCGCGGUAA
rnacentral:rRNA from 1 species